rnacentral:rRNA from 1 species
AUGGACGCCGUGGACUCCGUGGUCGACCCGCUCCGGGAGUUCGCCAAGGACAGCGUUCGCCUCGUCAAGCGCUGCCACAAGCCCGACCGAAAGGAGUUCACCAAGGUGGCCAUUCGGACGGCCAUCGGGUUCGUCGUCAUGGGCUUCGUCGGGUUCUUCGUCAAGCUCAUCUUCAUCCCCAUCAACAACAUCAUCGUCGGGUCCGGCUGA